UCACUGACAACAAAGGAAUGACUGGUUUAGGGUUCCAGAAGGGCUCGUAAACCGUUAGAUCAGAAGAGAUGCAACUUAGCUUUCGUAGCGGAGGGUUCAUUCAUGGGAAUGAACAACAUUUAGCUACUGUGAUGGGGGACAAUGAAGAGGAAGACUGCCCUAAUUUUGUGACACAUGGACAAACAUGCAACAAUUGGACUGCUGUUGAUAUUCCUAUUAUUUUGCAUCGAUCUAAUUAAUUUGCUUUUUAUAUUUUAAAAUCCUUCUCCUAUGCCUAAGGGAGAAGUGAACAUUGUUUGGGCAUUUUAAAUUGAUCAUCAAUAAAAUUAAU
rnacentral:lncRNA from 1 species